rnacentral:misc_RNA from 1 species
AGCAGCCGCGGUAAUUCCAGCUCCAAUAGCGUAUAUUAAAGUUGCUGCAGUUAAAAGCUCGUAGUUGAAUUUCGGGAUCAAUAUGUUGGUCGUGCCUCGGUACGUACUAGCUUAUUGGUUUCUUCCUUCUGACGAACCAUAAUGUCAUUUAUUUGGUGUUAUGGGGAAUCAGGACUGUUACUUUGAAAAAUUAGGGUGUUUAAAGCAGGCUCGCGCUUGAAUACAUUAGCAUGGAAUAAUGAAAUAGGACGUUUGAUUCUAUUUUGUUGGUUUCUAGGAUCGACGUAAUGAUUAAUAGGGAUAGUUGGGGGCAUUAGUAUUCAAUUGUCAGAGGUGAAAUUCUUGGAUUUAUUGAAGACUAACUACUGCGAAAGCAUUUGCCAAGGAUGUUUUCAUUAAUCAAGAACGAAAGUUAGGGAUCGAAGACGAUCAGAUACCGUCGUAGUCUUAACCAUAAACUAUGACCGACUAGGGAUCGGAUGAUGUUAAUUUUUAAUGUACUCAUUCGGCGCCUUAACC